rnacentral:rRNA from 1 species
GAUGAACGCUGGCGGCGUGCCUAAUACAUGCAAGUCGAGCGAACAGACGAUGAUCUUGCUCCUCUGACGUUAGCGGCUGACGUGUGAUUAACACUUGUAUAACCUACCUAUAUUACUUGUAUCACUUCGUGAAACCGGAGCUUAUACCGGAUAAUAUCUUGAUCCGUAUUGUUCUAUAGUUAAAUACGUUUUUUCUGUCUCUUAUAGAUGUAUCCGCGCCGCAUUAGCUAGUUGGUAAGGUAACGGCUUACCAAGGCAACGAUGCGUAGCCGACCUGAGAGGGUGAUAGGCCAAACUGGAAGGGAGACACGGACAAGAGUACUACGGGAGGGAGCAGUAGGGAAUAUUACGCAAUGGGCGAAAGCAUGACGGAGCAAAGCCGAGUGAGAGAUGAAGGAGUUCGGAUCGUAAAACUAUGUUAUUAGGGAAGAACAAAUGUGUAAGUAAAUAAGCACGUAUUGACGGUAACUAAUAAGAAAGCAACGGCUAACUACGUG